rnacentral:lncRNA from 1 species
AGCAGGUAGUCUCUGCCCACUGGAUAUGCACUAAGAAGAGAGAUCUUGGGAGCUACCAGGGCCAUCUUUGAAUCACGAAAGGUGCUUCCACCUCCAAGGCCUGGGAGCUGGAGCCCCAGAAGAAAAGAGAGAAAUGGGGUGUCAGAUCAGCUCACAGCCCAAAAUUAUCCAGUUACUGGAGCCAAUCAAUGUCCUCAUCUGUAAAAACCCACUUGAGCUAAGAUUCCUUAUACUUACAACCUCCAGGCAGAGGGAGAUCUGAGAGCAGAGGUCUGGCUUCAAAACAGGAUGGGUUGGAGAGUAGGACCUGAGCCAGAGCCCUGAAAGGAAGGGGAGAGUACCUGGGGUGGGAGCUGAGAGGCUGUAGACUAAUAGCUAACCUGCCAGGCUUUCCUCCUGUGCCAGGCAUUGUUCGAGAUCAGUGUUAUUAUUCCCAUUUUGUAGAGAAGUAACCAAAGCACAAGGGGCAGGGGCAGGUGGCUAGAAAACAUGCAGGUGGGACUCAACUCCAGGCAAGUGAACUCCACAGCCUGGCCACUGAGGCCACACUGGGCAUUGGCAGAGAAUUGGGGCAAUCAGGUGGCCAGUGAGACCAAAGGUCACUGAGAGGUGAGGGGGAUGAAGGCUGGGAAGACACUGGAUUUGAUGACCAAAGGUCACCAGAGGCCCUAGGGGUGGUGCUUCAGAGAAGGUUGGGGUGGAAGCCAAAUUGUAAGGUGUGAAUGGGAGCCAGGUCAGCAUGGGAACCAGGGAGUGGUGGGAGGCAGCUGGCGAAGACCCUCCAUCCUGUGCAUUCGUCUCAGAAAUGAGGGCAGCAGGUGUCAGCCACAGGAAUCAACACAGCAGGACGCAGCCUGGUAUUUUUUCUUUUUGCAUGUUGGUGAUACUUGCAGGGGUUUGUAAGGCAAGAAAAUGGAGAGAGGGGAGAGUAGGCCCAAAGCCCCCCACCCCUCAAUGUGAACCUGAGACAGAGAAGUCCACAGCAGCCAGGAGAGGGGACAGUGUGAGAACUUGGGGGGGCGGCGGUGCAGGUAGAGACAACAGCUCUUCCCUCCAGUGAAGGGAAGCAGAGGGGACAGGGAAAGGUGUGAGCCAGUUAGAUGGCAAGGAGCAUAGGCAUCCAGAAAAGCUGGAGGCCAGAGUGCUGAGGAGGUGGCACUUGGGACAAUGGCCUUUCAAGAAACCCUUAAAUACUGUUUUACUUUUUUUUU